rnacentral:ribozyme from 1 species
UUUGUUUUUCUUUUCUUCCCAUUUCAUUUUGAUUUUUACGGGAAUUGUAAAGAAAUAUGGAGGAAACUCUA